AGCCGGAUAAACAAUACAGCACCAGAGAAUAAUAGCAAGUCACCCAGUCAGAGUUUACCGACAACUGACAGAUGAACAUCGUUCGUCCGCUAAUGUGUUGUUUCGGUGGACGUAAAACAUUCCUUGAUCGAAAAGAAAUUUGUCUGUCUUCCAUGGACCGUGAUCAGUCAAACAUUCUCUUCCGGGAUCACACAGAUUUUGGCGUAAUGUGAUCUGAGGCUGCAACUAAUGAGCUAAUACAAGUUGCGCUGUUACAGUCAAGCGGUGCAGAACUGUGAGAAAGCGGACAGCUUCUAGUCACAGCUGAACACAAACUGAAUACGAGUGUUGCACUAGCACACGCUCCCCCUAGUCCGUCAUCUACUGAACUGUACACACCAGGAAAGUCAAUCCACUUGCCUGUAAAUGGAGUUGGUACAUGGCGGGAGAUAAGUCUGUCACGAAGGAGCAACGCUCAACCCUUGGAGCGUGACAGUGGGAGCUUGAGGGCAUCUUCUGCGACGUCCUGGACGGUACAAACAUCUAGCCUACAGAAAUGUAAGAGUACGGCAUGGAUCCUGGGUCUCCCUCUCAUGUGGCUUGCCAUCAGUUACUGAACUAUAUAACACCCAGACAUCUAACUCAUAUCAUAAAUAAGUUUGUUUAAACACGUUCCAAUUUAAACUUGUAAGUGGUGGAGAGAUUUAAGAACCCUGCACUCAAAUUUCAUCAAACUUUUUCACCUUUCUGGCACACUGUGCACAAAACUGGCCUAUCGUUUGUCCAUUCACAAUAAGAAACUAGUACUGAGCUCAAACCAGGGUAAUAUUCAUAUAUAAAUUCAAAGAUUUUAAAGAAAUUACUUGGAAGUGCGGAUGACACGCUCCUCUAUUUUCAAGUUAAUUUUGGAGAUUCAAAUCCACAACCUUAGACAUCACGACGUCUUGACUUCAGCAUCAUUUCUGCGUGCUGAUUACAGCCUUGCAACCAAGUUGGAAAGUUUCGGAUUGAAUUCCAAGGCUGAUUGUCCCGAGUGCGAUACGAGUCUUUUCAUCAAAACUUUAUUAAUGGGAAUAUAAAACGAUGCAGACACGAAUUCCCUUACAAUUCCUGGAUGUCUCAUAACACAGAUUUAAGACAUUUUAUAGCUAAUUUUAGAGAAAGCUCUAAGGACACACAUAUCAAAAUAAUCAGUAAAAGUAUCCCCAUGCUCAAGCACUUUGCCCUGAAAGAGUACGGGGCGCGCACAAAAAGCUCUACGUAGAUGGUUGCCUUCUGGGUUGUAGCGCCACGUAGUUUGGUAGAAGUUUACCAACCUCUAUCAUCAUUGCCCUGAAGACAGAGGCAACACAGACCUCUAAAACGUCUAUCGGACUACACAACGCUACAUCCCAUCUACAUAUUCACUGACGUAAAAACUCCAAACCGUAAAAGCUCCAAGCAUUCUAGACUUCAAUACUAGAUGGAGGUGAGCGGUGAGCUUUAUGCUCCAGCUGCUUUACCACCGGGGAAACAGGCCCUGAUACACACGAGAUAAUUGACAACGAGCCUAUGAACAUCCUAACGUCAGACUGAACACUGCGAUGGAGAGUCAGGAAUCAAACCUCAUUUCCUCAACUAACAGUCACAUGGAACAAGAGGAUGAUUAAGUGUGGAGAAAUGGAAAGGACGGAGAAAGAAGCGGUCGAAGGCAUUAUCAGACACUGACCUGGACGGACUCAUACAAACCACAAGGUACAUAGCCACUGCGUCUGCGUGAGCCUGUUUGGAGUGAAGCAUUAACAAAAGCCUUCAUAUCCACAUUAAUUAUAAAUUUAUUGUGUGAUAUCUAUGGAGAAAUAAAACUUGUGAACUGUAGGAUGAAGGUAGCCACCGAGAAAAAUGUGAAGGUCAAGAACGAAAUUUAUGUACCAACAAAAAUUUAAAAAAAAACAACUGAAGGACAGUAAAAAUGACUGGUCCAUAAAAGGCUUAUAUUCACCGAUAUAUUUUGUGCGGUGAAAUUACUAUCUGCCUUUGGAUUGGAGGAAGGCUUUUAAACUGUCGUAAGAAAUGUUUACGCAGUGAUGCAUUAAUUUCUUUAUACUUUAAUAAAGUUUACAUGUAAAUAAGCACUAUUUGGUUCUGAAGUUACACGUAUAUAUAAACAAAAAUCAUUUUUCUUUGUUCAUUCAUUGAAAUAAGACGUUAAUGUGCUCACUUAUUCUGUACCAAAGAGGACUAGAUCCAGACCAUUUCACCAAUGAAGUUACGUGGCACCUCUGUGACACGUAAAUUUAACCGUGUUCAAUGAAAGAAAUAUAUUUGUACAAAGAAUAUAACAUUGUAAACAAAAAUGGAAUUUUGUCUUAUGGCAAUAAGUAAAAAGAUCAAAAUUGUCAUUCUGUGCAUUUUAUGAGCUAAUUGACUUCACUGCGUUUCAAUAAGUCAAAUUCUCGAUUCUUAUAAUUCACACUGAUUAAAACAGUAAAUUGCCUUCGGCAGUCUACAAACAUGGAUAGGAAGUUCAC